GAUGAACGCUGGCGGCGUGCCUAAUACAUGCAAGUCGAGCGAACAGACGAGGAGCUUGCUCCUCUGACGUUAUCGGCGGACGGGUGAGUAACACGUGGAUAACCUAACUAUAAGACUGGGAUAACUUCGGGAAACCGGAGCUAAUACCGGAUAAUAUAUUGACCCGCAUGGUUCAAUAGUUAAAGACGGUUUUGCUUUCACUUAUAGAUUAAUCCGCGCCGCAUUAACUAGUUGGUAAGGUAACGGCUUACCAACGCGACGAUGCGUAGCCGACCUGAGAGCGUCAAUCGACAGCCUGUAUCUGAGACACGUCCCACACACUGACGGUAGGAAGCGGCAGGGACUCCUACGCGAGGGGCGAAUGCCGGACGGUGGAACGUGGCGUGAGUGAUGAAGGACCUCUGACGCGAGAACGCUGUUAUUAUGGAAGUUCAAAUGUGUAAGUACCUAUGAACGUCAUGACGGUACCUAAUCAGAAAGCCACGGCUAACUACGUG
rnacentral:rRNA from 1 species